AGCUCAGCGGUAGAGCUCCCGCUUCAUAUGCGGGAAGACCUGGGUUCGAUUCCCGG
rnacentral:tRNA from 1 species